GAUAGCUCCCCACUGCCUUCUUCCAAGGGCUAGUCAAUUUCAUUUUCUCCCUGCAGGCAGAAAAUGAAAUGGACAAGAGCCUUGCAGGUAAUCUGCCAGAGGCUGGGCGCUGUGAGUGCCUCCCCAGCUCUCAGCCUGCCCAGCUGCCAGUGGCUGAGAGCUCUGUGCUCAGCCUCCCUGUCUCCCCCCAGGCUAGGGCUGAGCACCCCAGCUCUCUGUCUCUUUGGCAGCCCCCCCGGAAGGCUCUUGUCAAGAUCGCUUUCUGAAAACAAAGUUUACAAGAGCCUUCCAGGCAGGCUGCCAGCAAGCUGAAAAAUUCCACUGUUGUUUUCCCCGAAAUUGAGUUUGUCUAGAAAUCCCUUUCUGUGAAAAAUGUUCAUUUUGAGUUUCAUCAUGACCUGGGACAAAACAUUUUUUCAAAAAUUGGAAACUUCUUGCAGGAAGGAAUUCCAACUUCCAGCCAGCUCUACUGAGUUAUCCCUUUUGUGAUCAGCAAUAGCACGUAGCAGCGGUGUGCAGUGCAAUAAAAGGCGAAUUACCAUAUAAUUCCAAUCAACAGAAGAAUCAUUUGCUGUCUUUUUUGACUAUUUGUACCUCACCUUGAUCCUCUCCAUUUAUCUAUCUAAUUAAUUAGCUACUUAAUGCCAGUAACCUGGGAGAUAUGAGCUGGUAUAUUUCCAAUAUGCAAGAGCUGAGCUGUUUCUUAUGAUGGAUUCUGCCAGUACUACCUGAGGAAGAGCUCUGUGUAAGCUUGAAAUCCUGUCUCUUUCACCAACAGAAGUUGGUCCAAUAAAAGAUAUUUACCUCACUCACCCAGCUUGUAUGUCUAAUAGCCUGCGACCAACAGGGGUACAACAACACUACAAAUACUACUUGCCACUGCAAUGUGGCAAAGCAACUUAACUGUAGUAGGUCCUUCUAGUUCUGUCCCUUUUCCAUUCUGAAAUUUGAAGUUCAGAUACUUUCUAGCCAUUCCCUUGACUUGCAGUUUUGUAUCUCAUUAACAUUUCUUCCCUAACUUCUUUUCCUACUCCCUUGCUCUUAUUAACACAUCUCCUUCUAUCCUUCUCCCCCACUACCCUCCCCCGGUCUCUAUCAUUUAAAUUUUUGUAUAAAGAUACAUGAAGGAUAGAAAGGUAAGCAAAUUCUGAAGAAAAAAGUAUUUAAGAUCUUUUAUUGGAAUCAGAACUUCAAAUUUGCUUCACUGGUAUUCAUGAGACCUUUACGUUGCUUCCCAUGAAGAUAUGUACAUGCAAAAUUUUGCUCACAAGAAUGUUAAUUGAAGAGAAGGACUGAAGAAGAUUCACUCAGGAAUAUUCAUGAAAAGUCACUCGGCUUGAAUAGCAGAUUACAAAUAGCAACUACACAACAAACACAGCUGCUAUGACUAACAGUUUGCAAGGAAUCAGAGAUGAAAGUACAUUAGGAUAGAUCAUGUUCAGAAUUAAUUUGAUACAACAAUUUAAGAAGUCAAAAUCUGUCCAGAGAUAU